rnacentral:rRNA from 1 species
UACGGUAGGGCGCAAGCGUUAUCCGGAAUUAUUGGGCGUAAAGAGCUCGUAGGCGGUUUGUCGCGUCUGCCGUGAAAGUCCGGGGCUCAACUCCGGAUCUGCGGUGGGUACGGGCAGACUAGAGUGAUGUAGGGGAGACUGGAAUUCCUGGUGUAGCGGUGAAAUGCGCAGAUAUCAGGAGGAACACCGAUGGCGAAGGCAGGUCUCUGGGCAUUAACUGACGCUGAGGAGCGAAAGCAUGGGGAGCGAACAGG